rnacentral:tRNA from 1 species
GCGGGGGUAGCCGAGUUGGCCAAAGGCGCGGGACUUAAGAUCCCGUUCUUAGUGAUUCGUGGGUUCGAAUCCCAUCCCCCGCA